rnacentral:sRNA from 1 species
UGUCUUGAGUCUAUGUGACUUGUGGUCAGGUCCUCUACCUGUUAAGGGGCUUGGGGCAUUGCCCUUACGUGACUGGUGGUCACAAAUCUAUGGAGGGCUGCGGAUAGUGACUAGCCUGGUUUCCUAGGAGUCAGGUUAAACGCCUACCAUCCCUCGGGGUCUCCGGAAUUUCAAACAUCCUCAGCUGGGAACCAGGGUCUUUCACUGUCCCACACAUGGCAUCAUAGUCAACGAUAGAUUAACAUGUGUAGCUUUAUCUAAAAUCUAUUCCCUUCUGGUGACAGAACUCAUGCCUUCUUCACUGAAACUGCCCUUACUGCGCAUGUAUCUGGAUGGAAUAUAUCUAUUCCAGGAUUUUAUGAGAGGCUUAGGGCUAGCUAACCUAAGCAUUGGAUUCAUUUUCUCUGGCUAUCUUAGCUACUGCCCUUUGGCUGCGAAGGGACAACACGAUCAAGGCGACUCUUAUAAAAGAAAGCAUUUAAUUGAGAGCUUGCUCACAGUUUAGUACAGCGGUUUCUCCACCUUCCUUUAAUACAGUUCCUCAUGUGGUGGUGACUUCCAAGCAUACCAUUAUUCUCAUUGCUACUUCAGAACUGUAAUUUCCUGCUCUUAUGAAUAGGUCGUAAUAUAGCUAUCUGUGUUUUCUAAUAGUCUUAGGCAAUCCCUGUGAAACGGUUGUUUGAUGUCUGCCCCACUAAGGGUUGCAACCCACGGGCUGAAAACUGCUGGUUUGGAGGAUUAGUCCAUGAUCUCUGUGGUGGUAAGCAGACAGGAAUGAUACUGGAGCCACAGCUGAGGGCUUUACAUCCUGAUUUGCACCAGCAGGCAGAGAUGGAGGGAGACGACAGAGACUGAGCCUGGUGUGGGUUUCGAAACCUCAAAGCUCAUCCUCGGUGACACAUGUGCUCCAUCAAGGCCACACCCACUCCAAAAUGCCACACCUUCCAAUCCUUUCCAAGCAGUUCCACUAACUAGGGAGCAAGCAUUCAAUGUAUGAGCCUAUGGGGGGUGGCCAGCCUCAUUCACACCACCACACGGACCACACUGAUGGACUUGGGGGAUGCGCACGUAAGCCGAGGAGGCCUGAUGUGUUUUCUAAUAGUCUUAGGCAAUCCCCGUGAAACGGUUGUUUGACGUCUGCCCCACUAAGGGUUGCAACCCACGGGCUGAAAACUGCUGGUUUGGAGGAUUAGUCCAUGAUCUCUGUGGUGGUAAGCAGACAGGAAUGAUACUGUUCUAGGAAUGAUACCCGAGGUUUUGCUUUGAGCUGCAAGGAAGACAAACCGUGAAUGCUCUCACUCAGCUAUAGAAAGUGAGCUUGCAGGUGCCGAGACAAUGGAGAAAAGCGUGCCCAAGACUGAGGACUUAAGCUAAGGCGAAGGGAGACACCCAGUGCCACAGGCAUGGUUAUAGCCCCUGAAGCUAGUUGAGUUGCCAGUUCCUCACAUGGAUGGAAUUGUUAUCAUUUCCUUAAGCCAACGUGGAGUUUGCUAACGCUUGUUUUUAAAUGAAUAUUUGUUUACUUAUUUAAAGGUUUAGUCAUUUUACGUGUUCAUGUGCUCCAUCUUCAGGAUCACCAUAGCAGGGCAUCGGAUUCCAUUAUCAGAUUCUGAACUACCAUGUGCUUGCUGGGAAUUGAACUUGGGACGUCUGGAAGGGCGGGGUUUCUAACCAUUGAGCCAUCUCUCCGUAUCCAUGAAAUUUUAUUUUUGACACAGACUGUGGUCAUAUCUCUCAAGCUUGUCUAGAAUACCUAAUCCUCCCAUCUCAGCCUCGUGAGUGCUGCGAUUGUAGACACUCCCCUGCUGGUGAGGACAGCUACGUUUCAGCUCCUAGGUCCAUCUACAACUGAAAUGGUGUCUGGAACUGAGAGGGUCCUCAGCAGAUCCUUACACCUGCCAUAGCCGACUGGGAAGGUGAGAAAUGGAGCCUCUGUCGUCUUCUUCCGUUCUGUUCAGCAUACAUCUGGCACCUGGUGAAGGCCGCUUGGUGUGUUGAUAAUGACUCGUGGAAAAUACACCAUAAGAGUCCAAGUGAGGAAAAGAAAGACUCAGGUGUGGUGAACAGCCAGCCACACACCCAGACUGGCCUUCUCCAUAAUAGAAUGGAGCUCUUUCUCCCUCAGUGCAGUUGAACAAACCAAUCCAAGUGAGGAAACCUCAGGGAAGGAGUGGCUUUCACUUCCCUAAGCAGCCUAGCCUAUCUCCUCUUAACCCCUGUGACCCUCAAAACCCAGUAAAUUCCUUCUUUUAUCUAUCUCAAAUCCUUUCUAUUACUCUCUAAGCCAAUUUUCUCGUGUACUGUAUUCAGUGGGAAUUGGAAACAGCUGGUCACCAUCUGCUGUAGAUUAACUCUUCAUGUACUUGAAGCCUAUAAUUAGGUCAUCGCUCAGCCUUCUCUUCUCCAGGCAAAAUAGCUCCUUUCCUUUAACCCUUCCCUGAAGGUUUUGUUUUCCAAUUAUUUAAUUGUUCUCUGUAGUGUUGCCCAAGAGUCUGCACUCUUCACACAUCUCCAGUCAAGGGCUGGGUCAUCGGGAAGGGUCAAGGAGUGUUGAAAGUCACCAUUGUCACUUUCCGAGGGUCUUUUUUCCGAGUUUAUUUUCAGAGGGCCAUUUAGUUUUUAAUGAUUAUAACUUAAUUUGUUUGGUUCUUAAUUAAAAUACAAAACACCAUUUCCCCUACCCUCUUCUUUCAUGCUCCCCCUGCCCCCACCUAAAAUUCAUGGUCCCCCGUUUCUUUAAUUAUUAUUGUUUCAUACAUAGAUUAUAUAUGCACAUGAAUAAAUGAACACAUGAAUGCUGACUCCCUUUACUGUUGUUGUAUGCAUACGUUUUUAGGGCUGAAUAACCAGUUAGGAAGCUUGCCCUUAGAGAAGACUACAGCUGUUUGAAGCUCUUCAUCUAGGUGUGGUGCCCGGUGACAUUCACCCUUUCACAUUGGAAUGCCUAUUGAUUUGGAUCAACGCUGUUCGAGUCUUAGAUAGGCAGCCAUGUUGUUAAGAUUUCACAAGGGCAGCUUCCCUGUCAUAGAGAGAAGCAUGUCAAAGCAAACACCCUUGUUCUCUGCCUCUGGCAAUCUUGUUGGCACACUGCUCCUCUUCUCUAAUGCUUCAGAAGGCUGUUUAGAUAGGGGAGAACAUCCUUCAACUCAGCAGGCCUCCACUGUCUUGAAAUUGGAGCAAAGAGGUCAAACUGUCCCAUUUUACUCUUCUCCUCACAUGGGAGGCGCUAGAGCACGCCAUGGACUUUGCGGCUUGGUGUCUGUAAGCUCACCAGUGCAGACUGCCGGCACAUAAUUAUCCUCUCAAUUAUGGAUAUAGCACUGAGAUCACACUUGAAAAGUAGGAAGGUCUUUUGAGAAAUUUCACAACAUUGUGCACAAUUUUGGGUCUCAUCAUGAUAUUUUCACACAUGCCUGUAACUAUCUUGAUCAUAUUUACCAUUACUCUCUCUCGUGCAUUCUCAAUGGUCCCCUUAUUCUUCCAAACCUGCGUCCAGGAGAGAGAUGCUUAGCUUGACUGGUCUUAGGAAACUAGUCCGGCGGUGAGAAGUCUAAACUUUUCUGUUUGACUAUUUACUUGCACACGUGUGUCCGAGUGUGUGUAAGCACAUGUCACAGGGCAUACAGAGACAUCCGAGGAUGACUAGAGGGAGCUGAUUCUCUCCUCCCAUCGUGUGGGUUUUGGGGUUUAACUCGUGUUUUUAGGCCCGGUGGGAUGCGCCCUUACCCACCGAUCCAUCUUAUCUUCCCCGCCAAUUUCAUCUUUUAAUUAUUUUACUUUUGAGACAAGGUUUUCUUCGAAGUCCACGUUGGCCAUGGGUUUAAUAUACUCUUCGUGCCCCUGUCUCCAGAGUGCUAGGAUUACACGUACGUGCGACCAUGCUUGGUUCCUUCUCCCUUUUAAGUCCUGGAAAUACAUACGCUGGUAUUUUCCUGGGACCAGCACUUCCUGAUGCUCCGUAAUAGACUUAGUAGGUUAGCAUGCCAGAUGCGAUGAUGGUGGCGGUCCAUAUCUCUUGCUUCCUUCAUGCGGGAAUAAGCUUUUGCUGAGAAGAGAGUGGGAUGAUCCCACCUAGAAAAGCGUGCUGCCUGAGGAUGUGGAGGAGGCAGGUAUCUCUGAAGAAUAUACCCUAAACUGAAGGAUGAACAGCCAGAAUCUGAAAUCCAAUUACAGCAUUGCAUUUGAUAUUGGACAUAGAGUGAAGGAGUAACCACUCUUGAUGAUGUCAUAGUGUUGUAGUGUUGUCCUGGCAACAUGGCGGGAGACUU